rnacentral:rRNA from 1 species
GACGAACCGUGCGAACGUUGUUCGGAAUCACUGGGCAUAAAGGGCGCGUAGGCGGCUUAUCAAGUCAGGGGUGAAAUCCGGCAGCCUAACUGUCGAAGUGCCCUUGAUACUGAUGAGCUCGAGGGAGAUAGGGGUGUGUGGAACUUCCGGUGGAGUGGUGAAAUGCGUUGAUAUCGGAAGGAACGCCGGUGGCGAAAGCGACACACUGGAUCUCUUCUGACGCUGAGGCGCGAAAGCCAGGGGAGCAAACGGG